GCCGUCCCUCCGUCCGCCCGACUCAGACUCCUACCGGUACGGCGAGCAGUGGGAAGUCGUUGUCACAAUGGGGAAACCCGUACGACUGCAGCGACGCCGCGUGAGCGAUGAAGCCCUCGGGUCGUAAGCUCUUCGGCUAGGAAGAUUAUGACGGUACCUGCAGAAGCAGCUGCGGCUAACUACGUGCCAGCCGCCGCGGUAAUAC
rnacentral:rRNA from 1 species